CAGGACCGGGAAGGGAGGCGGCGUUACCCGACCAUCCGCAUGUUCCACGCUGAAACCCAGCGCCAGCCGCCAGUGUUCCCAGGAGAUUUUAUCCGGGAUCAGGCUUCCGGUGGCGAAGUUCCCUUCAUCUUGUCGGGUAAGUUCCGACCUGCACGAAUGGCGUAAUGAUGGCCAGGCUGUCUCCACCCGAGACUCAGUGAAAUUGAACUCGCUGUGAAGAUGCAGUGUACCCGCGGCAAGACGGAAAGACCCCGU
rnacentral:rRNA from 1 species